AUUUUUGAGAGUUUGAUCCUGGCUCAGAACGAACGCUGGCGGCGCGCCUAAUACAUGCAAGUCGAGCGAGAAGACGUAGCAAUACGUUUGUAAAGCGGCGAACGGGUGAGGAAUACAUGGGUAACCUACCCUCGAGUGGGGAAUAACUAGCCGAAAGGUUAGCUAAUACCGCAUACGACUCUUGGUCUGCGGAUCGGGAGGGAAAGCGAUACCGUGGGUAUCGCGCUCCUGGAUGGGCUCAUGUCCUAUCAGCUUGUUGGUGA
rnacentral:ncRNA from 1 species